GGUCAAGCGAACAAGUGCAUGUGGUGGAUGCCUUGGCGAUCACAGGCGAUGAAGGACGCGGUAGCCUGCGAAAAGUUGUGGGGAGCUGGCAACGAGCUUUGAUCCACAAAUGUCCGAAUGGGGAAACUGUAGUGGUUCACCCAACCUGGACACUUCGUCAGGCGCUUUGCGCUUUUACUACUUCGUACUCGGCAGGCGGCAAAUGCCCGAGAGCCGAAUGUAAGCUGCGCUGGUUGUAGAACAUCAGGAUGUAGUCCAGCACAUGGGCCUGCGCUUCUGCAUGGUCGCGAUACGCGCGAUCGUCAACGCACUCGCCCUUCAAACUACAAAAAAAUCGUUCCACCACUGCAUUGUCCCAGCAAUUGCCUGUACGGCUCAUGCAUCUGCCUGAUGCGAUGCUCGAUCAGAGACUGCUGGAAUGUGCCGCUCGCGUACUGACAGCCCUGGUCGGAAUGAAACAUCAACUCUGCCUCCGGGCGUCGGACCUCGAGCGCUAACUGCAGCGCCCGAAUCACUAAAAAGGUGUCGCACUUGUCCGAGCACGCCCAUCCCACCACGCCUCGAGAGAACAAAUCCAGCACUACCGCCAGAUACAACCAGCCUUGCUGCGUCCAGAUGUAGGUGACAUCGCCCGCCCAGUACCGAUUGGGCUCCGCGCAAAUGCUCGAUCAAGAUGGUUCGGUGCGAUCGUCGAACUCUGCUCGCGCUUCACAUAGCGAUGCGAUCGACACACG
rnacentral:rRNA from 1 species